AAAAUAAAGUGACUUGCCCAGGAUCACAGCUUGUGAAUAUUUAAAGCCAGAUUUGGACUCAGGAAGAUGAAAUUAAAGGUCAUAAAAAUGAAACACUAUCGAGAAAAAAAGAAAAUGAAUGUUGUAAAAUUACAGCCCCAAAGAAGAGAAAUAAGAACAGAUCUCCCAUUUGUAGCUGUGGGCGGUCCAUACAUAUGACAUGACCAGCAGGAUGAAUACAGAGAGGCUUGAAGAGACUUACACGAACUGAUGCUGAGUGAAAUGAGCAGAACCAGGAGAUCAUUAUAUACCUCAACAACGUACUGUAUGAGGAUGGAUUCUGAUGGAAGGGAUUUCUUCGACAAAGAGAAGAUCUAACUCAGUUUCAAUUGAUCAAGGAUGGACAGAACAGCUACACCCAAAGAAAGAACACUGGGAAAUGAGUGUAAACUGUUUGCAUUUUUGUUUUUCUUCCCGGGUUAUUUUUACCUUCUGAAUCCAACUCUUCCUGUACGACGACAAGAGAACUGUUCGGUUCUGCACACAUACAUUGUAUCUAGGAUAUACUGUGACAUAUUUAACAUGUAUA
rnacentral:lncRNA from 1 species